UACGUAGGGGGCAAGCGUUGUCCGGAAUCAUUGGGCGUAAAGAGCGUGUAGGCGGCCCGGUAAGUCCGCCGUGAAAGUCCAGGGCUCAACCCUGGAAUGCCGGUGGAAACUGCCGGGCUGGAGUCCGGAAGAGGCGAGUGGAAUUCCUGGUGUAGCGGUGAAAUGCGCAGAUAUCAGGAGGAACACCAAUGGCGAAGGCAGCUCGCUGGAACGGUACUGACGCUGAGGCGCGAAAGCGUGGGGAGCAAACAGG
rnacentral:rRNA from 1 species